rnacentral:rRNA from 1 species
GACAGAGGUGCCAAGCGUUAGGCGGAAUCACUGGGCUUAAAGCGUGUGUAGGCGGGUGCCUAAGUACCUUGUGAAAUCCCACGGCUCAACCGUGGAACGGCUGGGUAUACUGGGUGCCUUGGGUCAUCCAGGGGCUGCCGGAACAAUGGUGGAGCGGUGAAAUGCGUAGAUAUGCGGAGGAACACCGAUGGCGAAGGCAAUCCCCUGGGCCUGCACUGACGCUCAUGCACGAAAGCGUGGGAGCAACAGG